GAUGAACGCUGGCGGCGUGCCUAAUACAUGCAAGUCGAGCGAACAGAUGAGGAGCUUGCUCCUCUGACGUUAGCGGCGGACGGGUGAGUAACACGUGGAUAACCUACCUAUAAGACUGGGAUAACUUCGGGAAACCGGAGCUAAUACCGGAUAAUAUAUUGAACCGCAUGGUUCAAUAGUGAAAGAUGGUUUUGCUGUCACUUAUAGAUGGAUCCGCGCCGCAUUAGCUAGUUGGUAAGGUAACGGCUUACAAAGGCAACGAUGAGUAGCCGACCUGAGAGGGGGAGCGGCCACACGGGAACGGAGAAACGGUCCAGACUCCUACGGGAGGAAGCAGUAGGGAAUUUUGCGCAAUGGGCGAAAGCCUGACGGAGCAACGCCGCGUGAGUGAUGAAGGUCUUCGGAUCGUAAAACUCUGUUAUUAGGGAAGAACAAAUGUGUAAGUAACUAUGCACGUCUUGACGGUACCUAAUCAGAAAGCCACGGCUAACUACGUG
rnacentral:rRNA from 1 species